rnacentral:rRNA from 1 species
UACGGGGGGAGCAAGCGUUGUUCGGAUUUACUGGGCGUAAAGGGCGGGUAGGCGGCCACCGCAAGUCAGUUGUGAAAUCUCCGGGCUUAACCCGGAAAGGUCAGCCGAUACUGCGGGGCUAGAGUGCAGAAGGGGCAACUGGAAUUCUCGGAGUAGCGGUGAAAUGCGUAGAUAUCGAGAGGAACACCUGCGGCGAAGGCGGGUUGCUGGGCUGACACUGACGCUGAACUGCGAAAGCUAGGGGAGCGAACGGG